AAAAAAUUAUUAAAUUAAAUUAAUGUAAACUUUUAGUUUUCGUGAUUAUAUUGUAACAGCAGCAGCAGCAGCAAUCUUUGCUUAUUGGGUCACCGAUUUGGAGAAUUUUAUACCAAACCAGCAGAAAUCUUCUUUCAUUUGCAGUCUCUAAGUCCCGAAGCACGGAAGUCAUUUUCAAUAGUACAUGCCUGGCUCUGGCCUGACUGGUGAACUCAGUGGCAUAGAGCAUGCAGAGUGGGCAGGGGAUUAAAGUGGAUAGGUCCCAAUGCAUUGAUUUUAGUUGAGUAUUUAUAGGUGGUAAUUAAUUUAAUUUCAUUUCUGAGAAAACUACAUUGGUCUUAGAGAUGAGUUGUUGGUGGCUGAGGACAAAUUU
rnacentral:misc_RNA from 1 species